UGAUUUCUUCGGUUUUAGCCGAGCUUUUAUUUUGGUGAUUUUUUUCCCUCUCCCCCAAAGCUAGCGGCCAGUUUGCUAGCACGGGAGCCAACGUUUGGUCGUUUCUGGUCGCUAAACUGAACUGCGUCCGAUUGGCCGGCGGCAUGUUUCAGGCUGAUUUUCGGCCGCCCCGGGGGCGCUGCCGGGUGGACGAAGAUUACGUGGCGCCGCUCCCCGUGAGCCGAAGCUCGUCGCAGACGACAGGAGUGACAAGCCCGACGACGACGAGCCGCUUCCGGGCGGACCUCGUCAACCGACACGUGCUGGUCACCGAGCCCGAGCAUAUCCGCGACCUUCACAAUCAGGGCUAUUUUGGGAAAGGCGUCCUGUCCAGAGCCAGACCGGAGCACGGCGUCUCCGACCGGUGGCAGCAACAUGAGGGCUUCCUACUUCCGGUGGUCACGCAGGCCAGGUACGAGGAGCUGCUCGGGCGGGCCGAGUCCUCACUCCUGGCUCAGGGCUUGGCUCAAGUGGUCGUCAAUCAAACGCUGCUAUGGCUGCGUCAGCCCAUCCGAGCGGACGUGCUGAGGCGGGAGGCGGAGGACGGGGAGGCGGCCCGAUCGGACACGCUGGCCAACCUCCGUUCCGAACCGGGUGGGAGCAUGCUGCGUGAGCUUGGCCCAGCCUCGAGCCCAGACCUCAGACCUGACCGAGGAGCUAACUCUGAGCCAGAUGAUGCUCCUUUAGUUCCGGGGCCCGGUUUUGUUAUCAUUGAUGCCGGGCACGUUGCCGCACAGCUCAGACGAAAUCCUUUACGGAUGACAGAAUUCCUGGAACUCGGCCUGGAGGAGGCUUUCUUCCUGGUCUACAGCCUGGGCUGCCUGUCUGUCCACGAGCAGCAGCAGAUGGCGGUGCUGCCUGACAAGGCGCCCCCCCAGAUGGAGCUGGAUGAAUUGGUGGCUUUAAUUCUUAUUGCAGAGUACUGUUGUUUUGACGGUCCACCCCUGGCAUCUACAACAUAUUCUUGGGGCGCCGCUGUCAAUCACCGAGCUGUGGAGGCACUUGGUGGCUUUGCGCCCAGACUUUGUCAGCUCCUACGCGGCCUACCAUCACUUUCGCAGCAGGGGCUGGGUCCCCAAAGGAGGAAGCGGCGCCAAGUACGGCGUGGACAUGCUCUUGUACAGGAAAGGUCCGUCCUUCUACCACGCCAGCUAUUCGGUGAUGGUGGAAAAAGUGGACGAACGUUUUCAGGGUUCAGCGCUGCGUGCCUUUUCCUGGCGUUCUCUGGCGACUUUGAGCAGGAUCACCGCAAAUGUCUCCAAGGAGCUGCUACUGUGUUACGUGAUCCAUCCAGCUGACCUGUCAGAAGCUGAGCUGGACUCGCCCGCCUGUCUGAGCAAGCUGAAGGUUCAGAACAUCAUGGUCAGCAGGUGGGUUUCCUCCAAAGAACGUGCUGAGCAAGAAGACGUCUGAUUGGCUGGCAGCAGAGGGGGCGCGGUCCACAAAGUAGCACAACCUGGACAUGAAGUUAGGAUAGUCAUACGGUGCAUUUCAGUAAGAAGACGCCACCACAUUUGAGGAAAAUGUCACAUUGUGCGUUCCAGGUCUUAAUGUUGCUUUCUUCGUGCUGUGUAGUUGCUUUAUUUUGUACAGUAAAUAAAUCAUGUUGUGAGUUUAUUGGUCAAACUGAAAA